rnacentral:lncRNA from 1 species
AGCAACAGAAUACGAGCAGUAACACUAAGUUCUUGCUAUUUAAACUUGUUUUAGAUUGGCUCAUGAAAGUUGGGAAACUGUGCAAUCCUUUCACAUGGUGCGCUAAUGGAAAGGUCAAAGACCUUUGGAACAAGAAAAUAAUAUGAAAGGAAAAAAAAAACACCCUCUUUUUGGGCUUGAGAAACUGCUUCUGAAUACAGGAAUUGCUCGUUCAUAAUUUUUGUGGUACAGUUCUACCAAGCACUGUGCUGCAAGAAGGAAAAAAGGCUGAAAGGAUUACAGACUAAAACUCAAACUAUGUAAAUCAUUGAUCUAUGUUCUCUUCUGCCUUAGAAGAAAAAAAAGAUUCAAAAACUUUAGCAUACACCAUUGCAAUUUGAAGGUGCUGCAAAUAAGGAGCAAAACAGAACCUCCAUAUCCAUCUCCACCACUUGCAUUUGUGAGCGCAGAGGAUCCUUAGUCUUACACAGGUGCCCCCCGGCAGCCAAAAUGACACUCCGAUGGGGAAAUGAGACCAG